ACACGGUAAUGGAUUUAUUGGGGGGCGGUGGAGACGGGCUUCUCUGUGGGCCUUAUAACUGUACCCAUGCCAGGGUAAAUUGCAGCCUUGAACUAUUGCCCAGCUGCCUUAUCGGUAGGCUGUGAGCACUGAAGGAGAUUGCACAGUG
rnacentral:snoRNA from 1 species